rnacentral:rRNA from 1 species
UACGUAGGGGGCGAGCGUUGUCCGGAUUUAUUGGGCGUAAAGAGCUCGUAGGCGGUUGGGUAAGUCGGGUGUGAAAACUCAGGGCUCAACUCUGAGACGCCACUCGAUACUGCUCUGACUCGAGUCCGGUAGGGGAGCGUGGAAUUCCCGGUGUAGCGGUGAAAUGCGCAGAUAUCGGGAGGAACACCAGUGGCGAAGGCGGCGCUCUGGGCCGGAACUGACGCUGAGGCGCGAAAGCGUGGGGAGCAAACAGG